CGCACUGACGUCAGGUCGUUCUAACGGUUAUGGCGGCCAACAAAGGAUCAGGAUGCCGCGAUGAUAAUCAGUGUGUUGUAAAACUGCGAGUGACUUUUAAAGACUGAAACAAAGAUCCCUACUAUAAAAAAAUACACCUCGGCAUUUCAGACAGAACUGGCGGGUUUCUGCUGGGUUUCAGCCAUAUUCAGAGACAGCUCUGUGUACGUCAGUUGCCAGGCAACGGCUGGAGACGCUUUCUAUCCAAACCUUGAAUUUUUCUUUUGGUGGCGAAAACCUGUUCGUGAAGCAAUGUCUACUGAAAAACAGGCAGUUGGAAGAGAAGCUGACGAUCUUCCGGUGAAACAACUAGCAACAGACUUAUCGGAUGAUUUAAAAAUGUCAUCCGAGUUCGGAUCUCUAGUGAAAGUAGUCUGGAUGCUGCUCGAUAAGUUUUCAUCUGACUGCCGAUGUGUGGACGAGUUCAUAGAGGAUGUUUCCACGGAUUUACAGAGCUUUGAUCCUCUGGAGAGGAAAUUUAUCCUGGACGUUUUUUCUGGAUGUGUUGAGUAU